rnacentral:pre_miRNA from 1 species
GAUGGCACAUUCGUGAUCUACCCUGUAGAUCCGGGCUUUUGUAGUUUAGUUUCGCAUCAGAAGCUCGUCUCUACAGGUAUCUCACGGCUGGAAGACCUCG